AUUGAACGCUGGCGGCAUGCCUUACACAUGCAAGUCGAACGGUAACGCGGGGCAACCUGGCGACGAGUGGCGAACGGGUGAGUAAUGUAUCGGAACGUGCCCAGUUGUGGGGGAUAACUGCUCGAAAGAGCAGCUAAUACCGCAUACGACCUGAGGGUGAAAGCGGGGGAUCGCAAGACCUCGCGCAAUUGGAGCGGCCGAUAUCAGAUUAGGUAGUUGGUGGGGUAAAGGAUCACCAAGCCAACGAUCUGUAGCUGGUCUGAGAGGACGACCAGCCACACUGGGACUGAGAGACGGCCCAGACUCCUACGGGAGGCAGCAGUGGGGAAUUUUGGACAAUGGACGCAAGUCUGAUUCAGCCAUGCCGCGUGCGGGAAGAAGGCCUUCGGGUUGUAAACCGCUUUUGUCAGGGAAGAAACGCUCUGGGUUAAUACCUCGGGGUAAUGACGGUACCUGAAGAAUAAGCACCGGCUAACUACGUGCCAGCCGCCGCCGUAAAAC
rnacentral:rRNA from 1 species